rnacentral:tRNA from 1 species
ACUUUUAAAGGAAAGCAGUUAUCCAGUGGUCUUAGGAUCCCAGAGUCCUGGUGCAAAUCCAAGUAAAAGUAAUG